rnacentral:rRNA from 1 species
UACGUAGGGUGCGAGCGUUGUCCGGAAUUACUGGGCGUAAAGAGCUCGUAGGCGGCUUGUCGCGUUGUUCGUGAAAAUUUACCGCUCAACGGUGAACUUGCGGGCGAUACGGGCAGGCUAGAGUACUGCAGGGGAGACUGGAAUCCUGGUGUAGCGGUGAAAUGCGCAGAGUAUCAGGAGGAACACCGGUGGCGAAGGCGGGGUCUCUGGGCAGUAACUGACGCUGAGGAGCGAAAGCGUGGGGAGCGAACAGG